rnacentral:rRNA from 1 species
CGGUAGCACAGAGAGCUUGCUCUCGGGUGACGAGUGGCGGACGGGUGAGUAAUGUCUGGGAAACUGCCUGAUGGAGGGGGAUAACUACUGGAAACGGUAGCUAAUACCGCAUAACGUCGCAGACCAAAGAGGGGGACCUUCGGGCCUCUUGCCAUCAGAUGUGCCCAGAUGGGAUUAGCUAGUAAGUGGGGUAACGGCUCACCUAGGCAACGAUCCCUAGCUGGUCUGAGAGGAUGACCAGCCACACUGGAACUGAGACACGGUCCAGACUCCUACGGGAGGCAGCAGUGGGGAAUAUUGCACAAUGGGCGCAAGCCUGAUGCAGCCAUGCCGCGUGUAUGAAGAAGGCCUUCGGGUUGUAAAGUACUUUCAGCGGGGAGGAAGGUGUUGUGGUUAAUAACCGCAGCAAUUGACGUUACCCGCAGAAGAAGCACCGGCUAACUCCGUGCCAGCAGCCGCGGUAAUACGGAGGGUGCAAGCGUUAAUCGGAAUUACUGGGCGUAAAGCGCACGCAGGCGGUCUGUCAAGUCGGAUGUGAAAUCCCCGGGCUCAACCUGGGAACUGCAUUCGAAACUGGCAGGCUAGAGUCUUGUAGAGGGGGGUAGAAUUCCAGGUGUAGCGGUGAGAUGCGUAGAGAUCUGGAGGAAUACCGGUGGCGAAGGCGGCCCCCUGGACAAAGACUGACGCUCAGGUGCGAAAGCGUGAGGAGCAAACAGGAUUAGAUACGCUGGUAGUCCACGCCGUAGACGAUGUCGACUUGGAGGUUGUGCCCUUGAGGCGUGGCUUCCGGAGCUAACGCGUUAAGUCCACCGCCUGGGGAGUACGGCCGCAAGGUUAAAACUCAGAUGAAUUGACGGGCGCCCGCACAAGCGGUGGAGCAUGUGGUUUAAUUCGAUGCAACGCGAAGAACCUUACCUACUCUUGACUUCCAGAGAACUUUCCAGAGAUGCAUUGGUGCCUUCGGGAACUCUGAGACAGGUGCUGCAUGGCUGUCGUCAGCUCGUGUUGUGAUAUGUUGUGUUAAGUCUCGCAACGAGCGC